rnacentral:sRNA from 1 species
CUGCCCGAGGCCAAGGGAUGGCCCAUUA